UACGGAGGGUGCAAGCGUUAUCCGGAUUCACUGGGUUUAAAGGGUGCGUAGGUGGGUUGGCAAGUCAGUGGUGAAAUCUCCGUGCUUAACAUGGAAACUGCCAUUGAUACUACUGAUCUUGAAUUUUCAGGAGGUAAGCGGAAUAUGUCAUGUAGCGGUGAAAUGCUUAGAUAUGACAUAGAACACCAAUUGCGAAGGCAGCUUACUACAGGAAUAUUGACACUGAUGCACGAAAGCGUGGGGAUCAAACAGG
rnacentral:rRNA from 1 species